rnacentral:rRNA from 1 species
UACGUAGGGGGCAAGCGUUGUCCGGAUUUAUUGGGCGUAAAGAGCGUGUAGGCGGUUUUACAAGUCCGCUGUGAAAACUCGAGGCUCAACCUCGAGCUGUCGGUGGAAACUGUAAGGCUAGAGUCCGGAAGAGGAGAGUGGAAUUCCCGGUGUAGCGGUGAAAUGCGCAGAUAUCAGGAGGAACACCGAUGGCGAAGGCAGGUCUCUGGGCCACUACUGACGCUGAGAAGCGAAAGCAUGGGGGAGCGAAC